GACAGAGGGUGCAAACGUUGUUCGGAAUUACUGGGCGUAAAGCGCGUGUAGGCGGCCCUGCAAGUCGGGUGCGAAAUCCCACGGCUCAACCGUGGAAGUGCACUCGAAACUGCAAGGCUAGAGUCCUGGAGAGGAAGGUGGAAUGCUUGGUGUAGAGGUGAAAUUCGUAGAUAUCAAGCGGAACACCGGUGGCGAAGGCGGCCUUCUGGACAGUGACUGACGCUGAGACGCGAAAGCGUGGGGAGCAAACAGG
rnacentral:rRNA from 1 species